GCGGGUUUAGCUCAGUUGGGAGAGCGUCAGACUGAAGUUCCACUUCAUUCAAAAUCUUGAAAAAGAUAAUCUGAAGGUCAUGUGUUCGAUCCACAUAAACCGCA